GACGAACGCUGGCGGCGUGCCUAAUACAUGCAAGUAGAACGCAGUCGCGAACGGGUGAGUCAUGCGCAGGUAACUGCUUGGUAGCGGGGGACAACUAUAGGAAACGUUAGUUAAUACUGCAUACUACCAGAUGGACCUGCGUUGUAUUAGCUAGUUUGUGAGGCGACGGCUCACCAAGGCAACGAUCCAUAGCCGACCUGGGAGGGUGAUCGGGCCCCCUAUGACUGAGACGCGGCCCGGACUCCUACGGGAGGCGACAGUAGGGAAUCUUCGGCAAUGGGGGGGGCCCUGGCCGGGCAACGCCGCGUGAGUUGAGGAGGUUUUCGGAUCGUAAAGCUCUUUUGUUAAGGAAGGGGUACUUAACCAGAAAGGGACGGCUAACUACGGGCCAGCGGCCGGGGUAAUA
rnacentral:rRNA from 1 species